rfam:Methylococcaceae bacterium Sn10-6 c73, whole genome shotgun sequence.
UGCUGGUUCUCUCGCAACGAUAUGCUGUAAACCCCGCCAGGUCCGGAAGGGAGCAACGGUAGCAGCAGAUUCGUGUGCCGAGAUGCGGCUGGUACGA